GGUUUUGUAGUUUAUUUAAAACUAUUAAAUUGCAAAUUUAGUAAAACAUAUAUUUUGUCAAAACUU
rnacentral:tRNA from 1 species